rnacentral:lncRNA from 1 species
UGGCCCUGAGGAAUCUUGGAGACAUCUGUGUGGUAGCAGUUGAGAGUGAGUGAGCGAGAGAGAGGUCUGAAGAAUGAUAGAUUAAUCUGGGAAGGUGAAUGACGCUAAAGGUGGAAAUACAAUAGCAGAACACUAACAAAUUAAGAGGAUGGAGGAAAGAUGUGAUGUGUACAACAAAGAAAGUUACAGAAAUUCAGAGAUCUCCCAAGACCAAAUAAUCCUCCUUCAUUGUCUUUUGAAAGGCAUGUCUACUUGGUGGGAUAACGUGCCUUACAGCGGUGUGACUGCUAAAGCACGGUAAAGUAUUGCGUAUUAAUUGGUCUGUGUACAAGUGACUGGUGUGCACUAAAAAUUCAGGGAAGAAUCCUUCUGUUGAUGUAGCUGUGCCUAAUUUAGGGGUUAGGUAGACUUAACCACGGCAUGCAGGGCAUAACAUUUUUCACAGCCCUGAGCAACGUGGCUAGGUCGAUCUAAUUUUUAAGUGUAGAUGAGGCCUGAGAUAAGGUUUCUGCAGUUUUAGAUUUCCUUCCCUAAACUCUUCUCUCAUUGUUUGUGGGCUAAUUCAUUAAAAAUAACUACACUAUAUAGGUUCUGGUUAAAUUUAGUUCUCCAUUUCUUUUAAAUUUAAAAGAUAACUUUUCUUCUUGAUUGCAACCUUCUG